UCAUGUCUGCGUUGCUUCUCCAGGAGAGUCUUUUUGUUAGAUCUUCUCCAGUGGAGUUUCUUGUGGUGAUUUUUACCCUUUUUGCUGUAUUGGCAUUUUCCCCAAUAUAUGCAAUUUUUUUUCCGGCAGGGAGGUUCUGUGUGAACCUUUUCCCCAGUCCGAGUCCGGAUUUUCAUCCGAAGUAUCCUUUGUGGAUAGUUUGAGUUAGCUUGAGUCUUCCCAUUGGAUUUGUCCCUUUGGAAUUCUUCUUUUCCCCAGUUUGAGUCUUUCACU
rnacentral:lncRNA from 1 species